GACGAACGCUGGCGGCGUGCUUAACACAUGCAAGUCGAACGGAAAGGCCCUGCUUUUGUGGGGUGCUCGAGUGGCGAACGGGUGAGUAACACGUGAGUAACCUGCCCUUGACUUUGGGAUAACUUCAGGAAACUGGGGCUAAUACCGGAUAGGAGCUCCUGCUGCAUGGUGGGGGUUGGAAAGUUUCGGCGGUUGGGGAUGGACUCGCGGCUUAUCAGCUUGUUGGUGGGGUAGUGGCUUACCAAGGCUUUGACGGGUAGCCGGCCUGAGAGGGUGACCGGCCACAUUGGGACUGAGAUACGGCCCAGACUCCUACGGGAGGCAGCAGUGGGGAAUAUUGCACAAUGGGCGGAAGCCUGAUGCAGCAACGCCGCGUGCGGGAUGACGGCCUUCGGGUUGUAAACCGCUUUCGCCUGUGACGAAGCGUGAGUGACGGUAAUGGGUAAAGAAGCACCGGCUAACUACGUGCCAGCAGCCGCGGUGAUACGUAGGGUGCGAGCGUUGUCCGGAUUUAUUGGGCGUAAAGGGCUCGUAAGGUGGUUGAUCGCGUCGGAAGUGUAAUCUUGGGGCUUAACCCUGAGCGUGCUUUCGAUACGGGUUGACUUGAGGAAGGUAGGGGAGAAUGGAAUUCCUGGUGGAGCGGUGGAAUGCGCAGAUAUCAGGAGGAACACCAGUGGCGAAGGCGGUUCUCUAGGCCUUUCCUGACGCUGAGGAGCGAAAGCGUGGGGAGCGAACAGGCUUAGAUACCCUGGUAGUCCACGCUGUAAACGGUGGGUACUAGGUGUGGGGUCCAUUCCACGGGUUCCGUGCCGUAGCUAACGCUUUAAGUACCCCGCCUGGGGAGUACGGCCGCAAGGCUAAAACUCAAAGGAAUUGACGGGGCCCCGCACAAGCGGCGGAGCAUGCGGAUUAAUUCGAUGCAACGCGUAGAACCUUACCUGGGUUUGACAUGGAUCGGGAGUGCUCAGAGAUGGGUGUGCCUCUUUUGGGGUCGGUUCACAGGUGGUGCAUGGCUGUCGUCAGCUCGUGUCGUGAGAUGUUGGGUUAAGUCCCGCAACGAGCGCAACCCUUGUUCACUGUUGCCAGCACGUUAUGGUGGGGACUCAGUGGAGACCGCCGGGGUCAACUCGGAGGAAGGUGGGGAUGACGUCAAGUCAUCAUGCCCCUUAUGUCCAGGGCUUCACGCAUGCUACAAUGGCUGGUACAGAGAGUGGCGAGCCUGUAAGGGUGAGCGAAUCUCGGAAAGCCGGUCUCAGUUCGGAUUGGGGUCUGCAACUCGACCUCAUGAAGUCGGAGUCGCUAGUAAUCGCAGAUCAGCAACGCUGCGGUGAAUACGUUCCCGGGGCU
rnacentral:rRNA from 1 species